GGAGAAUAUUGAUAGAAAUAUUAAACGCACCAAUAUCUUUGAUCCGACUUGGACUCGAAUCCGUAAUUGACCCAAUCAAUCCUUCGCCGAAAACACCUUACACUAUUUUCUCUGUUUCAACCGUUGCUCAAUCGUCUUCUGCUUUCGUCUCCCUCACAAGGAGUUUGCUUUUUUGUAAUCUAUUUAAAUUACAGCAGUGAAGAUGGUUUCUGGGUUGAUAAAUGCAAAUCCAACAGUGUAUGAAAAGAAGGAACGACGAGUUCGAAGUUUCAUUAGUAAUGCAGACGAGUAUGCUGUCGAACCAAUUGACCAACAAGAAGUAUUUGAUCAUGUAAGAGAUAUAAAAGAUCCAGAGCACCCAUACUCAUUGGAAGAACUCAAAGUAAUUACAGAAGAUGCAAUUGAGGUGGAUGAUGAGCAUAGCUAUGUAAGGGUCACAUUCACUCCAACAGUUGAACACUGCAGUAUGGCAACAGUUAUUGGUCUGUGCUUGCGGGUGAAACUUAUGAGGAGUCUUCCUAUGCGUUACAAGGUGGAUAUAAGGGUAGCACCCGGAACUCAUGCAACAGAAGCUGCAGGAUCCUACAUUGGAAGGGAAAAUGGUGGACAUUUGGGUUAUAAGGGCUUGGGCACCCUCCUUGGGAAGCCAAUUUUCCAAGGAGAGUUCUAUCCAAAUUCAUGAAAGACCCAUAGCCCAACCCAAUUGUUGAGUUAUUGGAGUGGGUUCCUAUCCAUUGAUAUCAGAGCAUGAUCCUACGCCUACGUGGCAGAGCACGCGUGGCAGGUUGACUCAUGGCAGACUGACCUUGGGCUCAGGCUGCUAUCCUGAAAAGGGUAUGGAGGCCCAAGGGAAAAGGGAUCCGAGUAGUCACCUAGAGGGUAAAGAGGCCGACGUUGAUAUUGGUUGCGGAAGCGUAGUGGAAUGUUAGGAUCUUACAUUGGAAGGAAAAAUGGUAGGCAUGUGGGUUAUAAGGGCUUGGGCACCUUCCUUCGGUAAGCCAGUUUUCCAAGGAGAGUUCUAUCUAAGCCCAUGAAAGACCUCUGACCCAGCCCAAUUGUUGAAUUAUUGGAUUAAUAAACAACUGAAUGAUAAAGAACGAGUGGCAGCAGCACUGGAAAAUCCAAACCUUGUGGAUAUGGUCGACGAGUGCUUAGCCCCAACAUAUGGUUGAAUGUAUUUCUCCUGCCCAGCAAUGGAGGACACUUCAACAUAGGACACUUAAAUAUUGUCAGGCUUCUACUCAUGUCUUGUUUUGGUCACCAUUGUGCAAUAUCUUUCUUGACUUGUAUCCGGAUUUUAUUGCAGUUUGUAUAAUUUAGUCCAUGAUAGGAAACAUAACGGUUAAAUAGUUUCAAUAUCUCAUCAACUUUGAUUAUUUACUUAA